rnacentral:rRNA from 1 species
AACGCGUAGUCAACCUAACCUAUGGACGGGAAUAACCUCGGGAAACUGAGUAUAAUGCCCGAUAGAACACUAUACCUGGAAUGGUUUGUGUUCCAAAUGAUUUAUCGCCGUAGGAUGGGACUGCGGCCUAUCAGUUUGUUGGUGAGGUAAUGGCCCACCAAGACUAUUACAGGUACGGGCUCUGAGAGGAGUAGCCCGGAGAUGGGUACUGAGACACGGACCCAGGCCCUAUGGGGCGCAGCAGGCGAGAAAACUUUGCAAUGUGCGAAAGCACGACAAGGUUAAUCCGAGUGGUUUCUGCUAAAGAAACCUUUUGUCGGUCCUAGAAACACCGAUGAAUAAGGGGUGGGCAAGUUCUGGUGUCAGCCGCCGCGGUAAAACCAGCGCCUCAAGUGGUCAGGAUGAUUAUUGGGCCUAAAGCAUCCGUAGCCGGCUCUGUAAGUUUUCGGUUAAAUCUGUACGCUCAACGUACAGGCUGCCGGGAAUACUGCAGAGCUAGGGAGUGGGAGAGGUAGACGGUACUCGGUAGGAAGGGGUAAAAUCCUUUGAUCUAUUGAUGACCACCUGUGGCGAAGGCGGUCUACCAGAACACGUCCGACGGUGAGGGAUGAAAGCUGGGGGAGCAAACCGGAUUAGAUACCCGGGUAGUCCCAGCUGUAAACUAUGCAAACUCAGUGAUGCAUUGGCUUGUGGCCAAUGCAGUGCUGCAGGGAAGCCGUUAGGUUUGCCGCCUGGGAAGUACGUACGCAAGUAUGAAACUUAGAGGAAUUGGCGGGGGAGCACCACAAGGGGUGAAGCCUGCGGUUCAAUUGGAUUCAACGCCGGG